GCCUGGGUGGCUCAGUCAGUUAAGCGUCUGACUUUGGCUCAGGUCAUGAUCUUGCAGUCCAGUCCGUGGGUUCGAGCCCCGUAUCAGGCU
rnacentral:tRNA from 1 species